UAAAAAUGGUCAAAUAAACACGCCCACUGUCCUGGGUCAUCAUGGUAUUGAUGGGAAUGGUGGGGCAGCUGCUCAGAUGGCCACCUGCACUGAAACUAUCCUUCCAACCAUUGUGUCAACAUUGCUUGUCAACAGAAACCUAAUUUCUGCGUGUCAAGGAUGAUUCCAGACUCUCAAGACAAAGAGCGUGAAUAUGCAGAUCAUGAGUUCCCAGCUGAAGUCAACUAGCAGUCUGCAAGUCAUAGGCUUGUCUGGGAAGCCCCAUGACAGAGUCAAAGGCCAGGCUGGGCAAGGGUUAUCACUGAGACUCAGUGACAGCACUACAAAUCCACUGGUCCUGGCAGAUUAAGAACGAUGCUUGAAAAUCCACCUCUCUUAGGUUCCAUGAGGCUAGAGGAGGAGAAGAAAGCCUGUUGUCUAAAGCCAGAGCAGCAAGGAGGCAGGAGGAAGGGCUUCCCAGUCACUGAGCUGGCUUUUCAGACUCUCUAGCCUCUGUCUCCUCGAUUAUAAGAUGGGCACAGUGGUAACUUGUACUUCCUAGUGAGGACUAACCACAGAAUUCCUUGGAAAGGCUCACUGUGCAAACACUCAAAACAGUGAGCAGGAAAAGGGAAGACAAUAGUGUAGUGAACUCUAAGGAACAACUUUUUUUUUUCAUAUUUAUUAGAUAGGACAGAGAGAAGUUGAGGGGGAGGGGGAGAGAGAGAGAGAAAGAAAGUCACCUGCAAACCUGAGGGAACAAGGGCUUGAACCUGUAUCCUUGCUCCAGUCCUUCUGCUUCUUACCGUGCACACUUACCCGGGUAUGCCACCACCAGCCCCCUAGUGGUUGAGUUUCUAACCUCUUGGAUUUAUGCAGCCUGGGGAGAGUAGCAGAGUGCAGAUGUCACCUACAUGCAUCAGAUGCUCAGUAGUUGAAUGAGGGACAAUCCCUCUUCUGGAUUGGAGUGAAAACCAAAUGCAGUCAGGACCAACAGUGACAGGGAGAGAAAGGUCUAGCCACCAGGUUCCAGAUGCCAUCAGGAUGCCGGCCAGGCUUCCCUGGACUGAAGACCCCACCAAUGCAUCCUGGAGCUCCGCUUCCCCAGAGACUCACCCUACUAGAGAAAGAGAGAGGCAGACUGGGAGUAUGGAUCGACCAGUCAACGUCCAUGUUCAGUGGGGAAGCAAUUACAGAAGGCAGACCUCCCACCUUCUGCAACCCGCAAGGACCCUGGGUCCAUGCUCCCAGAGGGAUGGAGAAUGGGAAAGCUACUGGGGAGGGGAUGGGAUAUGGAGAUUGGGUGGCGGGAAUUGUGUGGAGUUGUACCCCCCCAUCCUAUGAUUUUGUUAAUGUCUC